rnacentral:other from 2 species
CAUUCCCUACGUGGUACGUGUAGAAAGGAAUUUUAGAACCAACAAAUUCUAAAAGGGAGUCCGCCUUUAAAUGUGGCGUGUAGGCUUAGGUUAUAAACUUAAGAAACCCAGGAACAUUUAACAAGACACCCACCUGCUUGGUUGCAGGUCCUUAAAAUUUCAUUCGGCUUACGGCUAAUGUGGGGCGAUU